AUUGAACGCUGGCGGCAGGCCUAACACAUGCAAGUCGAGCGAGCGGCGGACGGGUGAGUAAUGUCUGGGAAACUGCCCGAUGGAGGGGGAUAACUACUGGAAACGGUAGCUAAUACCGCAUACCAUCAGAUGUGCCCAGAUGGGAUUAGCUAGUAGGUGGGGUAACGGCUCACCGAGGCUACGAUCCCGAGCUGGUCUGAGAGUAUGACCAGCCACACGGGAACUGAGACACGGUCCAGACGCCUACGGGAGGAAGCAGUGGGGAAUAUUGCACAAUUGGCGCAAGCCUGAUGCAGCCAUGCCGCGUGUGUGAAGAAGGCCUUCGGGUUGUAAAGCACUUUCAGCGGGGAGGCGUUACCCGCAGAAGAAGCACCGGCUAACUCCGUGCCAGCAGCCGCGGUAAUUC
rnacentral:rRNA from 1 species